AGCGAACGCUGGCGGCAGGCCUAACACAUGCAAGUCGAACGAACCCUUCGGGGUUAGUGGCGGACGGGUGAGUAACACGUGGGAACGUGCCUUUAGGUUCGGAAUAACUCAGGGAAACUUGUGCUAAUACCGAAUGUGCCCUUCGGGGGAAAGAUUUAUCGCCUUUAGAGCGGCCCGCGUCUGAUUAGCUAGUUGGUGAGGUAAUGGCUCACCAAGGCUACGAUCAGUAGCUGGUCUGAGAGGAUGACCAGCCACAUUGGGACUGAGACACGGCCCAAACUCCUACGGGAGGCAGCAGUGGGGAAUCUUGCGCAAUGGGCGAAAGCCUGACGCAGCCAUGCCGCGUGGAUGAUGAAGGCCUUAGGAUUGUAAAAUCCUUUCACCGGUGAAGAUAAUGACUGUAGCCGGAGAAGGAGCCCCGGCUAACUUCGUGCCAGCCGCCGCAGUAAGAC
rnacentral:rRNA from 1 species